rnacentral:tRNA from 1 species
GGAGAGGUGCGAGAGCGGCUGAAUCGGCUUGCCUGGAGAGCAAGUGUAGUCGUAAGGCUACCCAGGGUUCGAAUCCCUGCCUCUCCG